rnacentral:rRNA from 1 species
AGUGAACGCUGGCGGUAGGCCUAACACAUGCAAGUCGAACGGCAGCACAGUAAGAGCUUGCUCUUACGGGUGGCGAGUGGCGGACGGGUGAGGAAUACAUCGGAAUCUACUUUUUCGUGGGGGAUAACGUAGGGAAACUUACGCUAAUACCGCAUACGACCUACGGGUGAAAGCAGGGGAUCUUCGGACCUUGCGCGAUUGAAUGAGCCGAUGUCGGAUUAGCCAGUUGGCGGGGUAAAGGCCCACCAAGGCGACGAUCCGUAGCUGGUCUGAGAGGAUGAUCAGCCACACUGGAACUGAGACACGGUCCAGACUCCUACGGGAGGCAGCAGUGGGGAAUAUUGGACAAUGGGCGAAAGCCUGAUCCAGCCAUACCGCGUGGGUGAAGAAGGCCUUCGGGUUGUAAAGCCCUUUUGUUGGGAAAGAAAAGCAGCAGGUUAAUACCCCGCUGUUCUGACGGUACCCAAAGAAUAAGCACCGGCUAACUUCGUG